GUUGGACAUGGUGACACAUGCCUGUAGUCCCUGAUACUGGGAAGACUGAGGCUUGUGAAUCACUCGACUUCAGGAAUUCUGAGCUGCAACAGGGCUCAAGUCAGUAGAGUUCCCCCACUAAGCCUGGCACCAAGAUGGUGAGCUUGUAGGAGUGGGAACCCACCAGGCUGACUAACAAAGAACAGACUGGCCCAAGUCAGAAAUGGAGCAAGUCAAAGCUUCCAUGUCAUUUAGAAGGCAUGUUGGACUUGUGAGUAACCAUUGCACUUCCAUCCUGGGUGAGAUAGGAAGACCCAGUCUCA
rnacentral:SRP_RNA from 1 species